AGCUUUGCACAGUGGCAGUACCGUAGCCAGUGAGGUUUAUCCAAGGCUCGAAUAUUGCUAAUUGAAUGCUCCAAUCUGGAAUGGCUACUGAAUUUCAUCAGAUGCUUUUUAAUAUCUAGGAUGAAGACAACAUU